AGCUUAAUUAACGAUCAUUGCUUGGAUGUUCCAAGAUGAGACUAAAUACUGGACUAGUUGGAAUGCCCUGAAAUAUUAUCUAAGGUUGCAUAUGGGAACUCGAAUGUCUGAUUGCUUAGUUAAACAGAGAGUCGUAUGGGUGUUGGAUAAAUUGCCUUUCCAUCCAUUUACCUUAUUUUCCUGCGUAGGCUGAAAAUGGCCAAUUUGAGUCUUGUCAUUUCAAACGGCACUCACAUCACAACUCACGAAAACGAUGCAUCUACACUGAAAACCCUAAUCAUCCAAUGUGAA
rnacentral:misc_RNA from 1 species